rnacentral:rRNA from 1 species
UACGUAGGGUGCAAGCGUUAAUCGGAAUUACUGGGCGUAAAGCGUGCGCAGGCGGCUUGGUAAGUCCGCUGUGAAAGUCCAGGGCUCAACCCUGGAAUGCCGGUGGAAACUGUCAAGCUUGAGUCCGGAAGAGGCGAGUGGAAUUCCUGGUGUAGCGGUGAAAUGCGCAGAUAUCAGGAGGAACACCAAUGGCGAAGGCAGCUCGCUGGGACGGUACUGACGCUGAGACGCGAAAGCGUGGGGAGCAAACAGG